rnacentral:rRNA from 1 species
AGAGUUUGAUUCUGGCUCAGAUUGAACGCUGGCGGCGUGCUUAACACAUGCAAGUCGAACGUGAAAGUCCUUCGGGACGAGUAAAGUGGCGCACGGGUGAGUAACGCGUGGAUAAUCUACCCUUAAGAUGGGGAUAACGGCUGGAAACGGUCGCUAAUACCGAAUACGCUCCCGAUUUUAUCAUUGGGGGGAAAGAUGGCCUCUGCUUGCAAGCUAUCGCUUAAGGAUGAGUCCGCGUCCCAUUAGCUAGUUGGCGGGGUAACGGCCCACCAAGGCGACGAUGGGUAGCCGGUCUGAGAGGAUGACCGGCCACACUGGAACUGGAACACGGUCCAGACUCCUACGGGAGGCAGCAGUGGGGAAUAUUGCGCAAUGGGCGAAAGCCUGACGCAGCGACGCCGCGUGAGGGAUGAAGGUUCUCGGAUCGUAAACCUCUGUCAGGGGGGAAGAAACCCCCUCGUGUGAAUAAUGCGAGGGCUUGACGGUACCCCCAAAGGAAGCACCGGCUAACUCCGUGCCAGCAGCCGCGGUAAUACGGAGGGUGCAAGCGUUAAUCGGAAUCACUGGGCGUAAAGCGCACGUAGGCGGCUUGGUAAGUCAGGGGUGAAAUCCCACAGCCCAACUGUGGAACUGCCUUUGAUACUGCCAGGCUUGAGUACCGGAGAGGGUGGCGGAAUUCCAGGUGUAGGAGUGAAAUCCGUAGAUAUCUGGAGGAACACCGGUGGCGAAGGCGGCCACCUGGACGGUAACUGACGCUGAGGUGCGAAAGCGUGGGUAGCAAACAGGAUUAGAUACCCUGGUAGUCCACGCU